UAAAAGUAAAGUUAAUGCAGUACAUUUAAAAAAAUGUAAGGAAGCUGCUGUCUAUACAGUACAUCUAACAGAGCUGCUGUGUCAGCAACUGAUAUUGGCACAUGUGCAGAAUGGCGUGAAGAUUUCGGGGCAUACUCAGAACGAAGUGUGUGAUCCAAUCCCCGCUGGAAUCGCGCUAUUGCACCCACAGUAGCAGAAGUAUUCUCCUAUUAAGGAGAGAAGAAGCCAGACUGCAUGAAAUACAUUGAGAUGUUUCCUGAAUGUAAAGUCCCAUCCCAGCCAGUGUGUGAAACAAAUGGCAAGACAUACAAGAAUGAGUGUCAGCUCUGCGUCAUCGACUGGUACCAAUCAAAUUUUUUUUGUUUAUUACACAUAACUUUGAGUCAGAAAUAUAAACGUUGCACUAAUGAAGUGUAAACAGUGGCCUGCAUUUUAUGGGCCCCAGCUAUGCCUGUCUCUUUGUUGGCUACGUAGAGCAGUUGAUCUUCCGUAAUUACACCGGCACCA